ACGAAGAGAGAGACACGCGUACAAAAGGAUUUAUUUCCUAUUCGCUAGUGGAUUGUUAAACCUGAGUGGGAAGGAGAAAAACACAAGGGUGCGUUGUUUUAUUUCGUUCAUAUUUUUUUUUUCCUUUAAAAAAAAUCCCUUAAGUGGAUUUGUACCAGAGUGGAAGAUAACUGGGGAUUUUUGUUGUUUGUUUUGGGAAUAGAAACUAAAAAAUGGAGACUGUAAGUAGAAGCAGCUUCCAGCCUCAUCCAGGACUGCAGAAGACCUUGGAACAGUUUCAUCUGAGCUCUAUGAGCUCCCUGGGUGGCCCUGCUGCUUUCUCAGCACGAUGGGCACAGGAGAUGUACAAGAAAGACAAUGGCAAAGACCCAGCAGAACCUGUACUGCAUUUGCCCCCUAUCCAGCCUCCUCCCGUAAUGCCCGGUCCCUUCUUCAUGCCCUCGGACAGAUCCACAGAGAGGUGCGAGACCAUCCUGGAAGGGGAAACCAUCUCCUGCUUCGUGGUGGGUGGAGAAAAGCGGCUUUGCUUGCCCCAGAUCCUGAACUCGGUGCUCAGGGACUUCUCCCUGCAGCAGAUUAAUUCGGUGUGUGAUGAGCUACAUAUCUACUGCUCCAGGUGCACUGCUGACCAGCUGGAAAUCCUCAAAGUCAUGGGCAUCCUGCCCUUCUCUGCUCCUUCCUGCGGGCUCAUCACUAAAACUGAUGCUGAGAGGCUUUGUAACGCCUUGCUUUAUGGUGGCACCUAUCCUCCCCACUGCAAGAAGGAAUUCUCUAGCACGAUUGAGCUGGAGCUUACGGAGAAGAGCUUCAAGGUGUAUCAUGAGUGCUUUGGGAAGUGUAAGGGACUCUUGGUGCCAGAGCUUUACAGUAACCCCAGCGCAGCCUGCAUCCAGUGCUUGGACUGCAGGCUUAUGUACCCACCUCACAAAUUUGUGGUCCACUCUCACAAAUCGCUGGAAAACAGGACUUGCCACUGGGGCUUUGACUCUGCAAACUGGAGAUCCUAUAUCCUCCUCAGCCAGGAUUACACUGGGAAAGAGGAGAAAGCUAGACUGGGCCAGCUCUUAGAUGAAAUGAAAGAAAAAUUUGACUAUAACAACAAAUAUAAGAGGAAAGCCCCCAGGGUAAGUGAUGCCUUUAAUUUUAAAGGGGGUGGGAGGAGGAAGAGAAAAGGAAUUUUCUGUAAUUUCGGGAACAUCCAUUGA